UCCCUGGUGGCUCAGUUGGUGAAGAAUCUGCCUGCAAUGCAGGAUACCUGGGUUCGAUCCCUGGGUGGGGAA
rnacentral:tRNA from 1 species